ACACCGUUGGUGAAGUGGUUAUCAUGCUUGCCUUCUGUUGUUUUCAUUCCAACUUCAUCCUGGACUCGUUUGAGCAAGGGGCUCGAGCCUCGGGUUCAAUUCCCAAAUGGUGUA
rnacentral:tRNA from 1 species